GACGAACGCUGGCGGCGUGCUUAACACAUGCAAGUCGAACGAUGAACUUGGAGCUUGCUCUGGGGGAUUAGUGGCGAACGGGUGAGUAACACGUGAGUAACCUGCCCUGGACUCUGGGAUAACUUCGAGAAAUCGGAGCUAAUACCGGAUAGGACCUUGCACCGCAUGGUGUGGGGUGGAAAGUUUUUCGGUUUGGGAUGGACUCGGGGCAUAUCAGCUUGUUGGUGAGGUAAUGGCUCACCAAGGCGGCGACGGGUAGCCGGCCUGAGAGGGUGACCGGCCACACUGGGACUGAGACACGGCCCAGACUCCUACGGGAGGCAGCAGUGGGGAAUAUUGCACAAUGGGCGCAAGCCUGAUGCAGCAACGCCGCGUGCGGGAUGACGGCCUUCGGGUUGUAAACCGCUUUUAGUAGGGAAGAAGCCUUCGGGUGACGGUACCUGCAGAAAAAGGACCGGCUAACUACGUGCCAGCCGCCGCGGUAAGAC
rnacentral:rRNA from 1 species